CACAGCAUUAACAACUACACGUCACAUUUA
rnacentral:piRNA from 1 species